rnacentral:lncRNA from 1 species
AGUGCCCGCACCGCCCUCAGCCGCUCAUCCCCGGGUAUCGUCCCCGCGUCUCGGCGCCGAAGCACGCCCUGGGAGCCGCCGGGGCUCUGCCCCGCGCCCCUCCACCGGCAGGUGCAGGGAGCUCUCCAGACCAGGCAGCCGGGAUGCCGGGGCAGCCGUGCCGUGUCGGAGGCAGAGGAGACGCCCGGAGCGCGGCGCGCCGGCGAGUGGCACCGAGGCCGGCGCAGGAGCCGGCUACAGAGUAAGAGGCAGUAGCAGGAAGAUCUCUGGUCAGGGAGUGAGAUGACAUGGGACUCAGCGGGCUCCACCAGGGCCAGGUUUUGCUACCUCAGACAAGUCAUCCAGUGUCUCAGGGAUCAUCUUCUCAUCUUUAAAAGGAAGAAGAGAAAAUCUCAAAAUGCAUGGGAUCCCCAAACUGCUCUGGGACUAUGGCGUAUUUCUGCCGGUUUGCCCUGUUUUAACCCAGUUUAUUACUUCCAUCUUUCUGGGUGUCAGAGUUAUCAAUCAACUGAAGCACAGUUUUACUCAGUAAUGAGUCUGAGAGUGUGUGCUCAGAAUCCAGGCCCAUCUGAGCAAGAGGCAGAGCAGGUAAAAGAGCCACCUGCGCAUGUGGAGGAGAGCUGCUUUAGAAGAGGCAGUGGAGAGAGGGUGUGCUGCCAGUACUUCCUGGCUAUAAGGGUGAGGAGAUGCAGAGCAGCUCCCGGGGAAGGAGAGCCUUCUGGGAACUCAUGUUCCAGGUACAGCAGGGCAGCAGCUGCAGCAGUGUUUGCAGAAAAUGUGGAGCCCCCUCGCAUAGCUUGCUGAUCACUGAUUGCCAGGAUCCAAUAAAUAAGUGUUGCUUUCAUUUAGUUCA